AACGAACGCUGGCGGCAUGCCUAACACAUGCAAGUCGAACGAGAUCUUCGGGUCUAGUGGCGCACGGGUGCGUAACGCGUGGGAAUCUGCCCUUUGGUUCGGAAUAACAGUUGGAAACGACUGCUAAUACCGGAUGAUGACGAAAGUCCAAAGAUUUAUCGCCAGAGGAUGAGCCCGCGUAGGAUUAGCUAGUUGGUGUGGUAAAGGCGCACCAAGGCGACGAUCAUUAGCUGGUCUGAGAGGAUGAUCAGCCACACUGGGACUGAGACACGGCCCAGACUCCUACGGGAGGCAGCAGUGGGGAAUAUUGGACAAUGGGCGAAAGCCUGAUCCAGCAAUGCCGCGUGAGUGAUGAAGGCCUUAGGGUUGUAAAGCUCUUUUACCCGGGAUGAUAAUGACAGUACCGGGAGAAUAAGCUCCGGCUAACUCCGUGCCAGCAGCCGCCGUAA
rnacentral:rRNA from 1 species